rnacentral:lncRNA from 1 species
UAUAGAGGUGGCUCAUACUGUGGUAGAGAUAGAGGGGAUCGGACAACUCCCUUCUCUCAUCUCUAGUUUGUUGGGCAGAAAUCUCUCAAGCAUCUCAAAGAGUCGGUCAACAUCCUCCUAUAGUGAUCCCUCCUGGGCUGCUCUGUUUAGCGGGGAUCUUCAUCUCCUCAUGUUUCCUUCCCUACAUUACAUGACAAUAGUUUGAGAUUCGAAUUGCAUUAAAUUCAUUCUAAUCUUAUGUGUAAGGAGCGUUUUUAAGGAACAAGACUCUUAUACCAAUUGUCAAAGCCCAAACUCUUAUCAGGGAUUUCGAGUGUGUAGCUGAGUAA